UACGGGGGGGGGCAAGCGUUUGUUCGGAAUUACUGGGCGUAAAGGGCUCGUAGGUGGCCAACUAAGUCAGACGUGAAAUCCCUCGGCUCAACCGAAGAACGUCGGCCGAUACUGCCGUUCUUGAGGGAUGCAGAGGAGAUUGGAAUUCCCGGUGUAGCGGUGAAAUGUGUAGAGAUCGGGAGGAACACCGGUGGCGAAGGCGGGUCUCUGGGCAUUUCCUGACGCUGAGGCGCGAAAAGCGUGGGGAGCAAACGGG
rnacentral:rRNA from 1 species